CUACGAAUAGCUCAGUUGGCUAGAGCGGAGGACUGUAGAUCCUUAGGUCAUCGGUUCAAUUCCGAUUUCGUAGA